rnacentral:rRNA from 1 species
AGACCCGAAACCCGGUGAUCUAGCCAUGGGCAGGUUGAAGGUUGGGUAACACUAACUGGAGGACCGAACCGACUAAUGUUGAAAAAUUAGCGGAUGACCUGUGGCUGGGGGUGAAAGGCCAAUCAAACCGGGAGAUAGCUGGUUCUCCCCGAAAGCUAUUUAGGUAGCGCCUCGUGAAUUCAUCUCCGGGGGUAGAGCACUGUUUCGGCUAGGGGGCCAUCCCGGCUUACCAACCCGAUGCAAACUGCGAAUACCGGAGAAUGUUAUCACGGGAGACACACGGCGGGUGCUAACGUCCGUCGUGAAGAGGGAAACAACCCAGACCGCCAGCUAAGGUCCCAAAGUCAUGGUUAAGUGGGAAACGAUGUGGGAAGGCCCAGACAGCCAGGAUGUUGGCUUAGAAGCAGCCAUCAUUUAAAGAAAGCGUAAUAGCUCACUGGUCGAGUCGGCCUGCGCGGAAGAUGUAACGGGGCUAAACCAUGCACCGAAGCUGCGGCAGCGACACUCAGGUGUCGUUGGGUAGGGGAGCGUUCUGUAAGCCUGCGAAGGUGGCCUGUGAGGGUUGCUGGAGGUAUCAGAAGUGCGAAUGCUGACAUAAGUAACGAUAAAGCGGGUGAAAAGCCCGCUCGCCGGAAGACCAAGGGUUCCUGUCCAACGUUAAUCGGGGCAGGGUGA